GGGCAAACCUAUUGAAAAAUAGGGACGCAAAGCCAUAGGGACUCUGCUGUUGGGCGUGUCAGCCGGUUGC
rnacentral:ncRNA from 1 species